UGUGGCUCAGUGGUAGAGCACUUGCCUAGCAUGUGUGAGGCCCUGGGUUCGAUCCUCAGCA
rfam:Ictidomys tridecemlineatus contig118698, whole genome shotgun sequence.